rnacentral:lncRNA from 10 species
CUCCUCUCCCCUCCUCCUUCUCCUCUCCCCUCCUCCUUCUCCUCUCCCCUCCUCCUUCUCCUCUCCCCUCCUCCUUCUCCUCUCCCCUCCUCCUUCUCCUCUCCCCUCCUCCCUUCUCCUCUCCCCUCCUCCUUCUCCUCUCCCCUCCUCCUUCUCCUCUCCCCUCCUCCUUCUCCUCUCCCCUCCUCCUUCUCCUCUCCCCUCCUCCUUCUCCUCUCCCCUCCUCCUUCUCCUUUCCCCUCCUUCUUCUCCCCUCCCCUCCUUCUUCUCCCCUCCCCUCCUUCUCCUCUCCUGUCCCCCAGUGUGCUCUAAUGGCUAAGAGUCAGCUGCCAAAGGAGAAAUGCCCUUUGCAGAGUCCCAGACGUGGCGAGAACAGGAGAAUGGCGUUAGGGGUGAGAGAGAGGCUUGGAGACCCCUAUUAUUCAGCUGCGGCUCUCAAGCAACACCCACGGGACCGAGUCCUUCGCCUCUCCCCAGCCUUCCCACCAUGAGCUGCUGAAGACGGAGGACCUGCCAACGGCCUCCGAACAGGAGGAAGCCAGGAAGCAGCCAGUGGGAGAAAUUACCUCCUGAGGCCAGAAGCAGGAGACUAGUAAGUCAGCGCACCCCCAGGCUUGAGGCAAAAAUGAGGCUCCCACCCUAUUUGUCUUUGCAAAUCACUUCACCUCACUGUGCUUCAGCCCACUCCUAGGACACAGGGCUUCAGCCACUACCCAAG